GAUGAACGCUGGCGGCGUGCCUAAUACAUGCAAGUCGAGCGAACAGACGAGGAGCUUGCUCCUUCGACGUUAGCGGCGGACGGGUGAGUAACACGUAGGUAACCUACCUAUAAGACUGGGAUAACUUCGGGAAACCGGAGCUAAUACCGGAUAAUAUUUCGAACCGCAUGGUUCGAUAGUGAAAGAUGGCUUUGCUAUCACUUAUAGAUGGGCCUGCGCCGUAUUAGCUAGUUGGUAAGGUAACGGCUUACCAAGGCAACGAUACGUAGCCGACCUGAGAGGGUGAUCGGCCACACUGGAACUGAGACACGGUCCAGACUCCUACGGGAGGCAGCAGUAGGGAAUCUUCCGCAAAGGGCGAAAGCCUGACGGAGCAACGCCGCGUGAGUGAUGAAGGUCUUCGGAUCGUAAAACUCUGUUAUUAGGGAAGAACAAACGUGUAAGUAACUGUGCACGUCUUGACGGUACCUAAUCAGAAAGCCACGGCUAACUACGUG
rnacentral:rRNA from 1 species